rnacentral:tRNA from 1 species
GCGGGUGUAGCUUAGUGGUAAAGCAAUGGCCUUCCAAGCCAUCCAUGAGGGUUCGAUUCCCUUCACCCGCU